GUCGAACGAGAAUCUACUGAAAGAGUUUUCGGACGAUGGAAGUAGAGGAAAGUGGCGGACGGGUGAGUAACGCGUGAGGAACCUGCCUUGAAGAGGGGGACAACAGUUGGAAACGACUGCUAAUACCGCAUGAAGCAUAGGGGUCGCAUGAUUCUUAUGCCAAAGAUUUAUCGCUUCAAGAUGGCCUCGCGUCUGAUUAGCUAGUUGGCGGGGUAACGGCCCACCAAGGCGACGAUCAGUAGCCGGACUGAGAGGUUGAACGGCCACAUUGGGACUGAGAUACGGCCCAGACUCCUACGGGAGGCAGCAGUGGGGAAUAUUGGGCAAUGGGCGCAAGCCUGACCCAGCAACGCCGCGUGAAGGAAGAAGGCUUUCGGGUUGUAAACUUCUUUUAAGAGGGAAGAGCAGAAGACGGUACCUCUAGAAUAAGCCACGGCUAACUACGUGCCAGCAGCCGCGGUAAUACGUAGGUGGCAAGCGUUGUCCGGAUUUACUGGGUGUAAAGGGCGUGCAGCCGGGUCUGCAAGUCAGAUGUGAAAUCCAUGGGCUCAACCCAUGAA
rnacentral:rRNA from 1 species